CUGGCUCAGGAUAACGCUGGCGGCAUGCCUAAUACAUGCAAGUCGAAUGGGGAGCUUGCUUCCCAUGGCGAACGGGUGAGUAAUACGUAGGUAACCUACCUUUAGGACGAGGAUAACCUUUGGAAACGAAGGAUAAUACUGGAUAGUAUAGAUUUCCGCAUGGAGAUAUAUUUAAAGAUUUAUCACCUAGAGAGGGGCCUGCGGUGCAUUAGCUAGUUGGCGGGAUAAAGCCCACCAAGGCGAUGAUGCAUAGCCGGACUGAGAGGUUGUACGGCCACAAUGGAACUGAGAACGGUCCAUACUCCUACGGGAGGCAGCAGUAGGGAAUUUUCGGCAAUGGGCGGAAGCCUGACCGAGCAAAUGCCGCGUGAAUGAUGAAGUAUUUCGGUAUGUAAAGUUCUUUUAUCUAGGAAGAAAAACAAAUUGACGGUACUAGAUGAAUAAGCUCCGGCUAACUACGUGCCAGCAGCCGC
rnacentral:rRNA from 1 species